AUGGCGGCACUGCCCUGCUUUCGCUUUGGUUUCCUCCGCCUCGCCACCUUGGUUGCCAUGCUGGUGCAACAAGCCCGUCUGGUGCCUGUGGCCAUGGCGCAAGCCAAUAACCUGACCGCGGGAGACGCCUUGACGCCGCCCCGGUACAUCACCAGCCCGUCGGGCGGCUUCGCCUUCGGCUUCCGCACCCUCGACUCCGACCCGACCAAGUUCGUCCUCGCCACAUGGUUCCGCUUCGCGGACGACGCCAACUCCUCCCAGCCGCAGCCGCAGUCCGUGGUGUGGUUCCUGAAAAAGACGACCAUGGGCACCGCGGUCGUCGCCACCGCGACGUCCGUCCUCAACAUCACGGGUGACGGCCGCCUCAGGCUCACAGACCGCGGCGACCAAGAGCUGUGGAGCGCCACGACUGGCAUGCAGCGCGGGUCCGUCCUCGCUCUGAGCGACUCUGGCAACGUCCAGUUCCUCGGUGACGGCGACAUCGUGCUCUGGAGAGCUUCCGGAACCCGACGGACACGCUGCUCCCAGGGCAGCCCUUGUCCUCGAGUUACUCGCCCGGGGGAUUCCUCGUCUCCAAGCGCGCGGACGCGGAGUUCGGGCAGCCUGGCAGUCCAGCCCGACGGCAACGUCGUCCUCUACCUCGACCUCUUCACCGCUGACUACAGAACGACCAACGCCUACUGGGCUACGCGCACCUACGGCCCCAAUGGCAACACGACCGUCACCUUUGACAACCAGGGUUUCCUCAACUACACGCUUCGAGAUGGCAGCGUUCACGGUUUGAUUUCGCCUAAAGGUUCCAACGGCGGCAACUACUUGCAGUUGGCGAGGAUGGACCCUGACGGCAUCGUCCGCACCUACACCCGCCCUAGAUACGGUAGCGGGGGCACGCCUUGGACAGUGUCGGGAGCACUCCCCGGCGACGGAGGCUGCAACAGGGUAACAUCUUCGAGGCAAGGCUUGUGCGGCCCGGGGUCUUACUGCGUGCAGACGAUAGACAGGCUCAGCUGCCUGUGCCCUACUGGGUACACCUACAUCGACGCGCAGCAGACCAAUAUCGGCUGCACGCCGGAGUUCGGCCCGUCGGCCUCCUUUUGCCUGUUCUGUCUCCUUUUGAUCACCAUCGGCGGCCUCGUGGCACAGCAUUACCUCAUCAGAACCAGUGAUAGCCAGCGGCCGUUGAACUCUGGUGUGAGAGUAUUCAGCUGGAAGGAGCUCUACCAAGCCACCAAUGGCUUCGACAGUCUGCUGGGCAAAGGGAGCUUCGGGGAGGUCUACAAAGGGACGAUAAGAUCGCCGCAGCCGCACCUCAUCGCGGUGAAGAAGCUCAUCAACUCCAACGAGUACAGUGAGCAGGAAUUCACAAAUGAGGUGCAGUCCAUCGGGCAGAUCCACCACCGGAACCUGGUCCGUAUGAUUGGCUACUGCAAAGAAGGCAGACACCGGAUGUUGGUCUUCGAGUUCAUGCCGGGCGGGUCACUCCGCAGCGUCCUCUUCGUCGACCAAGAGAGGCGCCCCCCGUGGUGCUGGCGUGCCGAGGCCGCCCUUGCCAUCACUCGUGGGCUUGAGUACCUCCACGAUGGCUGCAGCGCCCCUAUCAUCCACUGCGACAUCAAGCCCGACAACAUCCUGCUUGACGACCGUGGCGUCCCAAGGAUCACCGACUUUGGGAUCUCCAAGCUGCUGGGGAGCCAGCAAGUGCACACCACAGUGACCAACGUCAGGGGCACCAGAGGGUACAUCGCGCCCGAGUGGCUCCGCAGCGAUGCGCGUGUGGACACCAAGGCGGACGUGUAUAGCUUCGGCGUCGUGCUCCUGGAGCUGAUUUGCUGCCGGAGGUGCCAGGAGCGCGUGGUGCAUGACAGGUUGUCAGCAGACGCGGGAGAUGACGACGAGACAGUCACGCUGUUUGGUUGGGCGGCGCAGCUGGUGGUAGCACGGAGGACUGAGCUGAUGUUGGACGGCGACCCGGACGUUGAGACCGUGGGGGACAAGCAGAGGGUGGAGCAGUUUGCGCGCGUGGCGCUGUGGUGCAUGGAGCCCAACCCGCUGCUGCGGCCAACCAUGCACCAGGUAGUGCAAAUGCUGGAGACCAGGAAUCAGGCUCAGAUUCAGGCACUCCCUGACCGUCCGGACUGUUACAUAGAAUCCUCACCUUUAAUUCCUCAGCUCAAGAUUGAAUGA
rnacentral:rRNA from 1 species